AGUGAACGCUGGCGGUAGGCCUAACACAUGCAAGUCGAACGGCAGCACGGUAAGAGCUUGCUCUUACGGGUGGCGAGUGGCGGACGGGUGAGGAAUACAUCGGAAUCUACUUUUUCGUGGGGGAUAACGUAGGGAAACUUACGCUAAUACCGCAUACGACCUACGGGUGAAAGCAGGGGAUCUUCGGACCUUGCGCGAUUGAAUGAGCCGAUGUCGGAUUUGCUAGUUGGCGGGGUAAAGGCCCACCAAGGCGACGAUCCGUAGCUGGUCUGAGAGGAUGAUCAGCCACACUGGAACUGAGACACGGUCCAGACUCCUACGGGAGGCAGCAGUGGGGAAUAUUGGACAAUGGGCGCAAGCCUGAUCCAGCCAUACCGCGUGGGUGAAGAAGGCCUUCGGGUUGUAAAGCCCUUUUGUUGGGAAAGAAAAGCAGCAGGUUAAUACCCCGCUGUUCUGACGGUACCCAAAGAAUAAGCACCGGCUAACUUCGUG
rnacentral:rRNA from 1 species